UGGGUUGUGGCUCAAUGGUAGAGCACUUGCCUAGCAUGUGUGAGGCCCUGGGUUUGAUCCUCAGCACCACAU
rnacentral:tRNA from 1 species